GAUGAAGAACGCAGCGAAAUGCGAUAAGUAAUGUGAAUUGCAGAAUUUAGUGAAUCAUCGAAUCUUUGAACGCACAUUGCACCUCUCGGUAAUCCUUGAGGUAUACCUGUUCGAGCGCCGUUUGUGUCUAAGGCUUUGCCUUGCGUUGGAGUCUCCCCGGGAGGGGUGCUCCGAAACACAUCGGCGCCCGUCUUGGCUUCGAAACGCAGAGAAAUGCGGCGAGAAGUCCGGACGGGCGGCCAGUCUCCGAAAGCAUGGCCUCGGAUCAGGUAGGGAUACCCGCUGAACUUAAGCAUAUCAAUAAGCGGAGGA
rnacentral:misc_RNA from 1 species